CACUGGGAAAAGCUGAAAGCAACAAUAAAACAGGAAGACUGCGAUAAGAGAUAGGGUGGCACCAUAAAGGAAACUACAGCCUUGAGUCUGUAAGAGUUGUACAGAGCUAUUGCUAAUAGGACAUUCUGGAGGUCAUAAAGACACGUGACGUGAUGUAACAAAAGCAAGUAUUCCUACUAGUCAUUGUCUAGGUCUGGACACCAUGUUACAAAAAGUGCUCCACACAUUGUCUCACUAUAGUUAGAAUUGCAUGGAAACCAGGUCAGCAACAUAACAGAUUGACAUGGAUAUCUCUCUGGUAAAGAGAGGGAGGGAUGUCAACAUAUAUGUAAAUCCCUUUGAGUAUGUUACCAGAAACAUCAUCAUCUGACUGGCCCACCCUAUAUGGCCCUUGGAGGAAAAAAAUAGUUCUUCUGCAGGACAAUUACCGGAUUGUUUAAAAAAACAUAUCACUGAGUGUGUGAUUCUCUGCCAAUACCAACUGAUGUUCCCCAUCAUAACAUUGAGUCUGGAGAUCAACUCCUCAUUAAGGAACACAGAUGAACAAAUUGCUUAGCAUCAAGGUUACAGAGUGUCUGACGUCACUGUUACUACGAGUAAACCCCUAGACCAUCAUUCCCAGAGUUUGGAAAGUCUGUUACAGGUAAAAAGAGUAACUGAUGAGAAAUUAUUUAGCACUGAUGAUGAUUCUUGGUGGAGAAAAAUAUUUAGAGCCAUAAUUCCUGGGAUAGGAGUUUCUGCAAAAAGCUUUUAAGAAUAUUUUUGCAUCUCUUGAAAUUCCUGAGAAUACAACUGCACAGGCUUUAUUAGCAUACAGUGGACCCUCUACUCACGGAAUUAAUCUGUAUUGGAACAGUGGCUGCAGGUUGAAAAGUCUGUAGGUCGAGGCUCCAUUGACCUACAAUGCAUUGAAAACCAAUUAAUCCGUAACUGGCCGUUUUUGUUCCAUUUUGGUUUUUUCUGGUCUGUAAGUCAAAUAGUUCCAUUUUUUUCCGGUAUGUAGGUCGAUUCUCCAGCUGCAAAUCGAACCUAAAUUUUGUGGCCAGAGAAGUCUGUAACUCAAAAAGUCUCUAAGUGGAGCAGUCUGUAAGUCAAGGGUCCACUGUAGUAGCUAGUAAGCUCAGGGGGCAAUACAGAAUUAAUUUACAGCCAAGCUGGUACAGCGUGAAACCUGAUAAG
rnacentral:lncRNA from 1 species